AUUCGCCCUUAGAGUUUGAUCCUGGCUCAGGAUGAACGCUAGCUACAGGCUUAACACAUGCAAGUCGAGGGGCAGCGAUGAAGAAAGCUUGCUUUCUUCAGGCGGCGACCGGCGCACGGGUGAGUAACGCGUAUCGAACCUGCCUCAUACUCGGGAAUAGCCUUGCGAAAGUAAGAUUAAUGCCCGAUGUUAUUAGAGCAUCACAUGAUGUUUUAAUUAAAGAUUUAUCGGUAUGAGAUGGCGAUGCGUCCCAUUAGCUUGUUGGCGGGGUAACGGCCCACCAAGGCAUCGAUGGGUAGGGGUUCUGAGAGGAAGGUCCCCCACAUUGGAACUGAGACACGGUCCAAACUCCUACGGGAGGCAGCAGUGAGGAAUAUUGGUCAAUGGACGCAAGUCUGAACCAGCCAAGUAGCGUGCAGGAUGACGGCCCUCUGGGUUGUAAACUGCUUUUAGUUGGGAAUAAAGUGCACCACGUGUGGUGUUUUGUAUGUACCAUCAGAAAAAGGACCGGCUAAUUCCGUGCCAGCAGCCGCGGUAAUACGGAAGGUCCAGGCGUUAUCCGGAUUUAUUGGGUUUAAAGGGAGCGCAGGCGGACCUUUAAGUCAGCUGUGAAAUACGGCGGCUCAACCGUCGAACUGCAGUUGAUACUGGAGGUCUUGAGUGCACACAGGGAUACUGGAAUUCAUGGUGUAGCGGUGAAAUGCUCAGAUAUCAUGAAGAACUCCGAUCGCGAAGGCAGGUAUCCGGGGUGCAACUGACGCUGAGGCUCGAAAGUGCGGGUAUCAAACAGGAUUAGAUACCCUGGUAGUCCGCACAGUAAACGAUGAAUACUCGCGAUUUGCGAUACACAGUAAGUCGCCAAGCGAAAGCGUUAAGUAUUCCACCUGGGGAGUACGCCGGCAACGGUGAAACUCAAAGGAAUUGACGG
rnacentral:rRNA from 1 species